GAUGAACGCUAGCGGCAGGCCUAACACAUGCAAGUCGAGGGGUAGCAGGAUUAAGCUUGCUUAAUUGCUGACGACCAGCGCACGGGUGCGUAACGCGUAUGCAACCUACCUUAUACUGGGGUAUAGCCCGGAGAAAUUCGGAUUAAUCCCCCAUAGUACUAAUGAAUCGCAUGGUUUAUUAGUUAAAGCAUUGCGGUAUAAGAUGGGCAUGCGUCCUAUUAGCUAGAUGGUGAGGUAACGGCUCACCAUGGCUACGAUAGGUAGGGGGCCUGAGAGGGUGGUCCCCCACACUGGUACGGAGACACGGACCAGACUCCUACGGGAGGCAGCAGUGAGGAAUAUUGGUCAAUGGGCGCAAGCCUGAACCAGCCAUGCCGCGUGCAGGAAGAAUGCCCUAUGGGUUGUAAACUGCUUUUAUUUGGGAAUAAACCUCUUUACGUGUAGAGAGCUGAAGGUACCAAAUGAAUAAGCACCGGCUAACUCCGUGCCAGCAGCCGCCGUAA
rnacentral:rRNA from 1 species